rnacentral:rRNA from 1 species
UACGUAGGGCGCAAGCGUUGUCCGGAUUCAUUGGGCGUAAAGGGUGUGUAGGUGGCGCCGUAAGUCGGGUGUGAAAUUUCGGAGCUUAACUCCGAAACUGCAUUCGAUACUGCGGUGCUUGAGGACUGGAGAGGAGACUGGAAUUCAUGGUGUAGCAGUGAAAUGCGUAGAGAUCAUGAGGAAGACCAGUGGCGAAGGCGGGUCUCUGGACAGUUCCUGACACUGAGACACGAAGGCCAGGGGAGCAAACGGG